rnacentral:rRNA from 1 species
UGAGGAAUAUUGGUCAAUGGGCGAGAGCCUGAACCAGCCACGUCGCGUGAAGGAAGAAGGAUCUAUGGUUCGUAAACUUCUUUUGCAGGGGAAUAAAGUGCGGGACGUGUCCUGUUUUGUAUGUACCCUGAGAAUAAGGAUCGGCUAACUCCGUGCCAGCAGCCGCGGUAAUACGGAGGAUCCGAGCGUUAUCCGGAUUUAUUGGGUUUAAAGGGUGCGUAGGUGGUUUGAUAAGUCAGCGGUGAAAGUUUGCGGCUUAACUGUAAAAAUGCCGUUGAAACUGUCGGACUUGAGUGUAAAUGAGGUAGACGGAAUGCGUGGUGUAGCGGUGAAAUGCAUAGAUAUCACGCAGAACUCCGAUUGCGAAGGCAGCUUACUAAGCUACAACUGACACUGAAGCACGAAAGCGUGGGGAUCAAACA